UCAUAGGGUAGCCGAAGUCCGUAUGAUUCUUUGGCUUUGUAUCUUCUAACAAGGAAACAUUACUUAGGCUUAUAAGAUCGGGUUGCGGUUUAAGUUCUUAUACACAAUCAUACACAUGACAUCAAGUCGUAUUCGACUCCAAAACACUAACCAACCUUCUUCUUGCGUCUCAAAGAUUUCAUGUUGUAGCCAAAGUCUGUAUGAGUCUUUGGCUUUGUGUCUUCUAACAAGGAUCCAAUUCUUACGCCUUUAAGAUCCAGUUGCGGUUUAAGUUCUUAUACUCAAUCAUACACAUGACAUCAAGUCAUAUUCGACUCCAAAACACGAACCAAGCUUCUUCUAACUUCUCAAAGCUUUCAUGGUGUAGGCAAAGUCCGUAUGAGUCUUUGGCUUUGUGUCUUCUAACAAGGAUACUAUUCUUACGCCUAUAAGAUCCAGUUGCGGUUUAAGUUCUUAUACUCAAUCAUACACAUGACAUCAAGUCAUAUUCGACUCCAACACACU
rnacentral:sRNA from 1 species